GGGGCCCACCGCCCAGCGCGCCAGCGAGGCAGAGGCAGAGGCAUCGCAUCGCAUCGGCCGCUUUGCUUUGCUCGCUCUCUUCUCGGCUUUCCGCCGCUCUCCGCUCGGCGGUGCAUGGCCAGCGAAUUCGGGAGUUCCAAUUCCUUCACCGUCUGUCUAUUCCCCCCCCAAACCCAAAAGCGAGAGGAGGCCCACCGCCGCCGCCGCCGCCGCCAAGCAAAGCCAACCCGGAGCAUAUUCACACGGAGGAGAGGAGGCGUGGAUCCGGAGGCUCCCCCCGCACCGCUUCUCCAGAAGCAGCUGACGCGGCGUGCCCGCGGGUCGGCGGUCGGUCGGUCGGUGUAUAAAUGGCGGCGGGAGAGGAGAGCGGCAGCGGCGUUGCGGGAGGGAGGGAAGGAGGAGAAGCGCCGGCGGCCUCUGCUCCCAACGGGGACCGCUCUGGGAAUAGCCCCCUCGCCACCGCGCCGUCGUCGUCCUCAGCAGAUGACAGAGGCUUCCAUAGAUCAAGCACCAUGCCGGGGGUGAUUAAGAAUGACGAAAUUACCAAUGAAACUGCUGGACCAUCAAAUUUGGAAAGGUCCAGAACUGAGCGUCGUCGGCAAAAUAAUCCAGCUGAUGAUCCUGCUAAACAGUUACUUGAUGAAAGGAUUCCAAUAAAAAAGAAGCUAAAAAUGCUAAAUCGGAUUGCUACAGUAAAAGAUGAUGGAACCGUGGUUGUUGAUGUGCCAAGUGGUCUGGAGGAACCAACUAUAGUUGGUGGAACUGAGGAUAUUUAUGCGGAAGCCACUGUUGAAGAAGCAUUAGAUGGAACAGAGAUACCAUACAGGCCUCCUAUGCAAAUAGUUAUACUUAUUGUGGGUACACGAGGAGAUGUGCAGCCAUUUGUUGCUAUAGGGAAACGCUUACAGGACUAUGGGCACCGUGUGAGAUUGGCUACUCAUGCCAACUUUAAGGAGUUUGUACUAACAGCUGGCCUGGAGUUUUUCCCGCUUGGUGGAGAUCCCAAAGUUCUUGCUGAAUAUAUGGUGAAGAAUAAAGGAUUCCUACCUUCGGGGCCAUCAGAAAUUCCUAUUCAAAGAAAACAGAUGAAAGACAUUAUUUUUUCUUUGCUGCCUGCAUGCAAGGAACCUGAUCCUGACACUGGCAUUCCUUUUAAAGUUGAUGCAAUUAUUGCGAACCCACCUGCGUAUGGACAUACACAUGUGGCAGAAGCGCUAAAAGUACCAAUUCAUAUAUUCUUUACCAUGCCAUGGACGCCAACUAGUGAAUUUCCUCAUCCUCUUUCUCGUGUGAAGCAGCCUGCUGGAUAUCGACUUUCAUAUCAAAUUGUGGACUCGAUGAUUUGGCUUGGAAUAAGGGAUAUGAUAAACGAGUUCAGAAAGAAAAAACUGAAGCUGCGUCCAGUAACAUAUCUAAGUGGUUCUCAGGGUUCUGGCAAUGACAUUCCUCAUGGAUACAUUUGGAGUCCUCAUCUAGUCCCGAAACCAAAAGACUGGGGCCCAAAGAUCGAUGUUGUUGGAUUUUGCUUCCUUGAUCUUGCUUCCAAUUACGUACCUCCUGAACCACUUGUGAAAUGGCUUGAAGCUGGUGACAAGCCCAUAUAUGUUGGUUUUGGUAGCCUUCCAGUUCAAGACCCACAAAAGAUGACUGAAAUUAUUGUCAAAGCACUGGAAAUUACUGGACAGAGAGGUAUCAUUAACAAAGGCUGGGGUGGCCUUGGAACCUUGGCAGAACCAAAAGAUUUUGUAUAUCUACUAGACAACUGCCCUCAUGACUGGCUUUUUCUGCAGUGCAAAGCAGUGGUGCAUCAUGGUGGUGCUGGAACGACAGCUGCAGGUCUUAAAGCAGCGUCUGUGAUUUGCAGUGUCCUACGACUAUUGUACCUUUCUUUGGUGACCAACCUUUCUGGGGGGAUCGGGUGCAUGCAAGAGGGCUAGGGCCUCCGCCUAUUCCAGUUGAUCAGUUUGGUUUGCAGAAGUUGGUCGAUGCUAUAAAAUUCAUGGUGAAGCCAGAGGUGAAAGACAAGGCUGUAGAGCUGUCGAAAGCCAUGGAAUCUGAAGACGGGGUGACAGGUGCUGUUAGGGCAUUCCUCAGACACCUGCCUUCAAAAACCGAGGAACAGAGUCUGCCGCAGUCGUCGGGCUUCCUGGAAUUCUUAGGCCCACUAAGUAAAUGUUUGGGAUGCUCUUAGUGCGCAACACAUCGAUGAUCACGGAUUUGAUUCCUUGAACGAAGCCCCGCCAAGGGUCAUGAUCAAAUCAACCCAUGGAAAGUAGCUCCGGGCCACGAGUGUGUUUCUCUUCUCUUCUCUUUUCUUUGUAUCCUUUUUCUUCCCUGCGGGUAUUUAUUUAUAGUGUGUAUGUAAAGAGUGCUUGUCUGGUGUGGAUGGCAUGCUCCCUGCGGUGCGUGUAAUUUUGAUGUGCAUGUUUGCCGUGCAUCACAGACGACGACGAUUUCACGUCUGCAUGGCCAACCCGUUUGUGUAUAUGAAAGAAGCUGAAGAGGUUCUUCGUUUUCUCUAUUGCAA